ensembl:lncRNA
AAGCAGAGUGGAAGGAGGUGUAAAAAAACAGCUACCGAUAUAACGGUAGCCGUGAAGAGUCUCUGCGGGAGAGAGGAGACAUUUGUCGAUUGGAAACUGACUGGCAACCGCGUGACUGGGAGCGGGGCUUUGCACGGCGGGGCUGUUAUGCCUUGGGCGACUGCAGCUCUGCUCGGGCUAAAGGACAGAAAGGAGGAUCGUUCAUCACCUCCAAAUAAUGUUUUCAAAGAAGACAGGAGCUGUACUCACACCUGUAACGUGAGGUUUACUAUUAAGGAUGUACAUUAACGUCAAAGGGUCCUUUGUAACCUUAAGGGAAUCUUUGAGUGUAACCUCAAAUCAGGUGAGGGCAUAAUAAAAAAGAUCAUUGAGGAUUGAAGUGGAG